CCAGACUCCUACGGGAGGCAGCAGUGGGGAAUAUUGGACAAUGGGGGAAACCCUUAUCCAGCGACGCCGCGUGAGGGAAGAAGGUUUUCGGAUUGUAAACCUCUGUCAGUGGGGACGAUAAUGACGGUACCCACGGAGGAAGCCACGGCUAACUCCGUGCCAGCAGCCGCGGUAAUACGGAGGAUGCGAGCGUUAUCCGGAUUUAUUGGGUUUAAAGGGUGCGUAGGCGGGACGGUAAGUCAGCGGUAAAAAUGCGGAGCUCAACUCCGUCGAGCCGUUGAAACUGCCGUUCUUGAGUGAGCGAGAAGUAUGCGGAAUGCGUGGUGUAGCGGUGAAAUGCAUAGAUAUCACGCAGAACUCCGAUUGCGAAGGCAGCAUACCGGCGCUCAACUGACGCUGAAGCACGAAGGCGUGGGUAUCGAACAGGAUUAGAUACCCGGGUA
rnacentral:rRNA from 1 species